GGGCCCGUAGCUCAGCUGGAAGAGCGUCCGGUUUGCAGCCGGAAGGCCCCGGGUUCAAAUCCCGGUGGGUCCA
rnacentral:tRNA from 1 species